rnacentral:tRNA from 7 species
GUUGAUGUGUCCUAGUGGUUAAGGAGACAAGCUUGAAACCUGAUGGAUUUUCCCUACGCAGUUUCGAAUCCUACUGGUGAGG